GCAAACUUGGUCAUUUAGAGGAAGUAAAAGUCGUAACAAGGUCUCCGUUGGUGAACCAGCGGAGGGAUCAUUACCGAGUUAUCCAACUCCCCAAACCCCUGUGAACCUACCUAUAACGUUGCUUCGGCGGGACGCAGACGGCCCCCGUGACACACGGCCCGUCCCCGCCAGAGGACCCCCUAACUCUUGUUAAUUUUUAUGUUUUCUCUGAGUACACCAAGCAAAUAAAUUAAAACUUUCAACAACGGAUCUCUUGGCUCUGGCAUCGAUGAAGAACGCAGC
rnacentral:misc_RNA from 1 species